ACCUCUCUAUCUAACCAAGGGAUGGAAGGGCAGAGGGAGGUUCCCUUUGGUGUCCCUUCCAGUCCAGAAUUGGGGCCUCACAAUCAACAAUCACUAGCCAAUAUGCUUUUCUCUCAUACCUUUCUUCGUUUAUGGUUCGAUAUUAUGGUGCCCUAAGCGUAGAGGAACCACACCAAUCCAUCUCGAACUUGGUGGUUAAACUCUACUGCGGUGACGAUACUUUGGGGGAGGUCCUGCGGAAAAAUAGCUCGAUGUCAGGAUGAUAAAAAGAUUAACACCUCUUAUUCAAUGAAAAGGUGGUCUUAUUCAAAACCCCAAUUGUGACAUCCCUUCUCUCCCACUUCAACCCCGGAACGGACUGUUUUUAUAGAGAGAAACGUGCUUCCACAUCUUCUUAACCCAAAAUGGCUGAGGAGAAGAAAGGUUCCUUUUUUUUAGGGUACUCCCGGGAACAGGUCCAGUGGAGAUGGGUGGGGCUUGUAGCUCAGAGGAUUAGAGCACGUGGCUACGAACCACGGUGUCAG